CAAUACCCCUCUUUUAGAGGGGUUAAUGAAAUAUACCCCUUUCAUUUCAAAUGUUUUUGUUUUACCCUUUUAUUUUUCAAUAUACCCAAAUUACCCUUUUGAAAAGUGCCAUGGACGGAGCACGAAGAAAAGAGGAAGAGAAAGUGAGAGAAAAUGGCAAAGCAGCUACUGGAGAGUGCUUCAGGAGGAAGGACGAGUAGAGGAAGCACCCUAGGCUCACCAAUCAGCUCCGCCACGCCUUUCUUGGUUUUGGCCUCAGAGUCGCCGCCUUAGGCGUCUACCUAGACGGUGAGCAGCAACCAAACGUACCAUCUAAAGAUUGAAUUCAUCAAAACCAUCAUCGAUUUUUGGUGCAAACUUUGAAUUCAAAUCUUCGAGACCGAAAAUGAUGCUGAAUCUUGGAAAAUCUCUCACUGAGCAAUGAGUUACAGAAGGUAAUCUUUAUAUUUGUUUUAAAAGGCAAUGUACCCAGGUGGUUAUACUACAGAAGUUACAAGGUUAUCUCCAAAAGCAACAAAAAAGGAUAUUUAUGAUUUUUUUCACUUAUUGUGGUGUAACUGAGGAUGUUGAAAUCAUUAGGGUGCAACCAUUGUAGAUCAGCGAGUAUGCAUAACACAUUAGGGAAUAUAAACGGAUGAAGAUGAUUGUUGGAAUAGUAGUCCAUGGAACCAUGAGGUCAAUAGUGGUUCAUUGGUAACAAAUCAAUAGAAAUAAUUUCCAUUGGAUGGGAAAGAUGGGUGCAUCACUUCACAAGUCUUCGAGAGGACAGGCAAUAGGGUUAAAACCUUCAUACUUUAUGUUAUGUAGCCCUUGUUUGGGAUGUUUGGAUAUGGAGGACCUAUUGCAUCUAUGCAUCUAGGAAGGUAUGAGUUGCACCUUCAUUUGUGUCCUCAUUCUGAUUGAAUAUUCCUAAAUGUUUAGUUUUACCUUUUUUUCAUUUCACUGUCUUGUCAUAGGCAUGCGCUUGUUUCUUCGAAGACAGAGAAUUCCAAGAAAGUAUAAACGUUACAUCUUGAGAGAGAAGCCUUACUCGGUAGUUCUAACAGUGAACAUACUUGGACGAUAGUUAAGUUGCAUACUAGUUUCUUGAUCUGUCAGAGGGCCAUAUUUUUUAAUGCUUUUAUCUGAUUUCUCUUACAUCUUUGCAAUAGAACCACCCAACGGUUUUCAAUCUCUUGUACUAAUGGACAACUUCAUUUCCAUUUUAGACUGAUGGUGGCAUCAAAAAUCCCUCAGAAGCUGAAAUUAGGGACACACCCCACAGAGAACUACUCUGUUUCUAUUAUUUUAUACUUUUGGCAUGGUCAAAUUGAGACAGUAUGUGUAUCAAAUAAAUUUAUUAAGAUAUAUACUUUUGUAGGAGCUGUAAUAUUCUCUAGGAGAUAUAAUAUUCUCUAGUUUUUAUUCAUAAAACACUUGUACAAUUUUCUCUUGCUAAUUCAGAUUUUGUUUUUAGUUUUUGUA